rnacentral:tRNA from 1 species
GAAGGUAUAGCUCAGUGGUAGAGCGAGUGCUUAACAUGCACAAGGUCCUGGGUUCAAUCUGCAGGACCUCCG